rnacentral:rRNA from 1 species
CGCGGCCUAUCAGCUUGUUGGUGAGGUAACGGCUCACCAAGGCAUCGACGGGUAGCUGGUCUGAGAGGACGAUCAGCCACACUGGAACUGAGACACGGUCCAGACUCCUACGGGAGGCAGCAGCAGGGAAUAUUGCACAAUGGGCGAAAGCCUGAUGCAGCAACGCCGCGUGAGGGAUGACGGCCUUCGGGUUGUAAACCUCUUUCAGGAGGGAAGAAAUUGACGGUACCUCCAGAAGAAGCCCCGGCUAACUACGUGCCAGCAGCCGCGGUAAUAUGUAGGGGGCGAGCGUUGUCCGGAUUUAUUGGGCGUAAAGAGCUCGUAGGCGGCUCAGUAAGUCGGCUGUGAAAGUCCGAGGCUCAACCUCGGAACUGCAGUCGAUACUGCUGUGGCUAGAGUCAGGUAGAGGGGAAUGGAAUUCCCGGUGUAGCGGUGGAAUGCGCAGAUCUCGGGAGGAACACCAGUAGCGAAGGCGGUUCUCUGGGCCUGUACUGACGCUGAGGAGCGAAGCGUGGGGAGCAAACAGGAUUAGAUACCCUGGUAGUCCACGCCGUAAACGUUGGGUACUAGGUGUGGCGAUCGGACUAACGAUUGCCGUGCCGAAGCUAACGCAUUAAGUACCCCGCCUGGGGAGUACGAAU